AGUGAACGCUGGCGGCAGGCCUAACACAUGCAAGUCGAACGGCAGCACAAGAGCGCUUGCUCUCUGGGUGGCGAGUGGCGGCCGGGUGAGGAAUGCAUCGGAAUCUGCCCAUUUGUGGGGGAUAACCUCGGGAAACCGGGACUAAUACCGCAUACGACCUACGGGUGAAAGCAGGGGAUCUUCGGACCUUGCGCAGAUGGAUGAGCCGAUGCCGGAUUAGCUAGUUGGAGGGGUAAAGGCCCACCAAGGCGACGAUCCGUAGCUGGUCUGAGAGGAUGAUCAGCCACACUGGGACUGAGACACGGCCCAGACUCCUACGGGAGGCAGCAGUGGGGAAUAUUGGACAAUGGGCGCAAGCCUGAUCCAGCCAUGCCGCGUGUGUGAAGAAGGCCUUCGGGUUGUAAAGCACUUUUGUUGGGAAAGAAAAGCAGCCGGUUAAUACCCGGUUGUCAUGACGGUACCCAAAGAAUAAGCACCGGCUAACUUCGUG
rnacentral:rRNA from 1 species